UAGGGAAUCUUCCGCAAUGGACGAAAGUCUGACGGAGCAACGCCGCGUGAGUGAAGAAGGAUUUCGGUUCGUAAAACUCUGUUGUUAGGGAAGAAAAAAUGUAUAGUAACUAUAUACAAAAGAGACGGUACCUAACCAGAAAGCUACGGCUAACUACGUGCCAGCAGCCGCGGUAAUACGUAGGUGGCAAGCGUUGUCCGGAAUUAUUGGGCGUAAAGCGCGCGCAGGUGGUUUAGAAAGUAUGAUGUGAAAGCCCACGGCUCAACCGUGGAGGGUCAUUGGAAUCUAAUAAACUUGAGUGCAGGAGAGAAAAGUGGAAUUCCUAGUGUAGCGGUGAAAUGCGUAGAGAUUAGGAGGAACACCGGUGGCGAAAGCGGCUUUUUGGCCUGCAACUGACACUGAGGCGCGAAAGCGUGGGGAGCAAACAGG
rnacentral:rRNA from 1 species